AGCCCUGCGCUUCCCCAGGUGAACCGGGCAGGAGCCUGUUGGGAAGGCAGCGACCCACAUCUGUGUGCACCUUUGUGGAUUUCAGGUUCCGGACGCAGGCGACCAAGCCAGAGCCAGCGCUGUCAUACGCAGAGCACCUGCCGAGCCAUGUGACGUGCUGCUCUCUGCCAGCCCUGAUCGCCUUCCUUUCCAGCAGGACUUGCGCUUCACACUGGACCUUGAGGCCCCAUGGAGAUCUGCCAUUUUGGGCAGGUUCUGCUCACAGUGCCAGUAACUUCACCUAGGAGAAGAGCGACAACUUCAAGGCCGCAUGACCCAUCUGAUUGUCAUCACACAGGUCCCCGCAGGAGAAUUUCCAUGGCGUUUCUCACUCUUUGUUUGCAAAGAAUUUCUUUUUUUAUCGUUUUCUUUUUCUUUUUCUAUUUUCUUUUUUCUUUUUUUUUUGAGACAGAGUCUCUCUCUGUUGCCCAGGCUGGAGUGCAGUGGCAUGACCUCGGCUCACUGCAACCUCGGCCUCCUGGGUUCAAGCAAUUCUCCUGCCUCAGCCUCCCGAGUAGCUGGGAUUACGGGCACACACCACAACGCUCAGCUAAUUUUUGUAUUUUUAGAAAAGACAGGGUUUUACCAUGUUGGCCAGGCUGGUCUCGAUCUUCUGAGCUCGUGAUCCACCUGCCUCGGCCUCCAAAGUGCUGGGAUUACAGGCGUGAGCCACCACACCCAGCCUAAGAAUUUCUUAGAAUUAAUAUCUGCACUUGGCCCCACAUCCUCUGAGUGAUAACUUAGAACUGUCACUUUAAUUGUUGAGAGAGGAUAUUCAGAGAAUAGUGGGUGAUUUUACAAGCAAGGAUAUGUUUGGGGAGCAUGUUCCCGGUGCAUUCUCAGGGUCUCGUGCAUUCUUUUAGACAUUGAAGACAUCCUGAUCUCCAGUGGAAGCAGAGCCCCAGUCAUACACUUAUCCACCGGGGACGAGUUCCAAGACCCCCAGGGAAUGCCUGAAAGCUCGGGUAGUGCUUACCUCUAUGGAUGUUGUGCACAAAUUUAUUUUUCCCUCUUUACAACUUCAUAGAUUGAAGGUUCGUUCUUACCAAAGAUCUUAGCAACCUUAGCUUAUCAUUCCUUUUAUUUCCUGAUUAAGUGGAGAACUUUCACCUUUUCACUAAAAAAAAAAAGUGCUUUACGGCUGCCUUUGCCACGUGCACAUGGUCUUUUGGGACCAUCCUUAAGUCAAAUAAGGGUGACCUGGAUGCAAGCACUGUGAUACAGAGAAAGUCCAGCUCACCACCAAGAUGGCUGCUGAGCCGCUGGUGGGCGCGGAGUGUCGUGUCUGCAGCGUGAACAUGCCGGGCAAAGGAAUAAUGCAUGUCAGGGAUAGGGUGGAGAAGGACUGUGCCAGGCUUCAUCACACUACUCAGAAUGGCACACAGUUUAGAACUUAUAAAUGAUUUAUUUCUGGAGUGAUCCACUGCAUAUUUUCAGACGGUGGUUGAUCGUGGGUAACUGAAAGCAAAACCUGACUGAAAGGGGCUGCUGUGUUCAUGUCAGCAACGCUGAUGCCCUCGAGGCCAGAAGAGUAACCACCAAUCUGGUACCUGAGCACCUGGCUGUAAGUCCACCCUCCAUUUCUGGCCAGGGCCGAGGAAUUCUCUCUUUUUCUCUUUAUUUUCCUCUUGAUUUGAGAAGGUCAACUCUGAGCAUGCUCUAAACACAAAUCAGCAUCUCUACACUUCUUCGGCACCAGGUGUUGCUACUGUCUUUCUGAUUAGAAAAAAAGAAAUAUCCAGGAAUUCUGGAAGACAGUGAUUGAUUUGCAGCUAUGCUGCAAUGGAGCUAAGAAUCAUUAGCACAACCCGUGCUGGUGUUCGACAAGAUGCCCAAUCAAUUCAUCCGAUGACAGGUGCGCUGUGUCUGCGAAGCGCGAAGCCACGGAGUGAGGUGCUGACCAGGCUCCACCAGGAGCAAGGAACAAGACUCCCCAGGGGCUCCUGGUCCACAGAAGGCAGGGACGCCCACAAACAUACCAUGAGUAAAUAGUUCCAAUGUGAAGAAGACUGAAAAUGCCACAGAAGUGUGAGCCCACUGUUUUGAAAUUCUUUCUGCUGAAGGGAUUGAGAAGAACUCUUCCAUAAAGGAGCAUGACCGAGCCAUGAGUUAUAAUAUAUACAUGCAUAUAGAAAGAGGAUGUGAAUACAGUUGCAGAAGGGCGUCAAAGCCAAAAACACACAGGGAAUGACUUGAGGAAGCUGAGGACCAAGAGCAGUGCUAGCCAUGCCAGUGACUGUGGUCGCUGAGAACUGGAUGAUGGAUGUUUGAGUGACCGUCAGGAGGAUCAGCAUGGGACCAGGAGGAUCAGCAUGGGACCAGGAGGAUCAGCAUGGGACCAGGAGGAUCAGCAUGGGACCAGGAAACAGCAGGCGAGUGAAUGUGAACUCCACUCUCAACAGGGAGAUGACGUGGGUCUCGGAAACCUACAGAUCUGAGUGCUUGCUGUCAGGUCAUGGCAGGGCUCUGACUGCACUGUGGAGGGAACAUCUGUGUUUUUGUCCUCCUGGAACCUAGUGCCCCUUUCCUGGAGGCAGCAUCCUAUUUGACCUGUGUGGGUCCAACCCCACCUCUCUCCUGUAGCAGUGGCAUGGGACCCGGGGCUGGGCCAUUCGCAGCAUUGCCACAGGCAGCAAUGGUGAUUGAUCUAGGAGUUGAUCAUUGAUCCUAACUGGGUGCUCAGGCCAAGGGGAUUGAUUCUUGGUAUUUUUUAAUCUCUUUUUUCCACUGGAAUUAUAGCUAAUAUGAUGAAGCCUAGAUAUACUGCGUAUCUGGCUUUUAGACAGGGCAAACCUGCCUAGAAAUGAAAAUGAAGUCACCACCUGUGAAAGCAGAAACAAGAGCUUGAGAGAGACUGAGUCCUGGUGAGAAUUUCUGAACCCCUUGAUCCAGCGAUGCCUGAAGCCAGAACUACUUGUAAACUUUUCAGUCAUGCAAUCCUGUCACUUCUGUUUGUUCUUAAGUGCAUUUUGUAUGGUUUCUGCCGCUGACCACGGAAACGUCCUUCACUAACAGGGAAGCAGAGUUACCCCAUUUGAGAGCCUCAGAAGGAAGAUGGCAUUCAUGCAAAGGAAGCAUGCGUUUGCUCUCACUUCCUGAGAGAAAGCCUGAAAAUGAAGCCAAUCUCAUUUUCUUUCAGAGAUGAGUCUCUUGAUCAGAGAAUGCCUCAGUU